rnacentral:misc_RNA from 1 species
GAUGAAGAACGUAGCGAAAUGCGAUAAUUAAUGUGAAUUGCAGAAUUCCGUGAAUCAUCGAGUCUUUGAACGCACAUUGCGCCUCAUGGCAUUCCGUGAGGCAUGCCCAUCUCAGCGUUAGAAAAUAUUCUCAAAUUUUAGUUUUGUGCUAAAAUUUGGAUCAUGUCAAGGAAGCUAUUACUAUUAUUGUGAUUGCUCUUUGGAAAUUGAUAGGUCUUUGAGUUGCUACUCAUAGAACGUGAUGAAUCUUUCUUCGUUCUAUUGUAAUUCACUCUGGUAGUCCUAAAAGUUGUAUGCCUGUAGCAUAUCUUGUAAUUUGACCUGAGAUUGGGUAGGGAUACCCGCUGAACUUAAGCAUAUCAAUAAGCGGAGGA